rnacentral:rRNA from 1 species
UACGGGGGGGGCAAGCGUUGUUCGGAAUUACUGGGCGUAAAGGGCUCGUAGGCGGCCAACUAAGUCAGACGUGAAAUCCCUCAGCUUAACCGGGGAACUGCGUCUGAUACUGGAUGGCUUGAGUUCGGGAGAGGGAUGCGGAAUUCCAGGUGUAGCGGUGAAAUGCGCAGAUAUCAGGAGGAACACCGGUGGCGAAGGCGGGUCUCUGGGCCGAUACUGACGCUGAGGAGCGAAAGCGUGGGGAGCGAACAGG